rnacentral:rRNA from 1 species
AACGGAGGAGGCUAGCGUUGUUCGGAAUUACUGGGCGUAAAGCGCGCGCGGGCGGUUAUGCAAGUCAGGGGUGAAAGCCCGGGGCUCAACCUCGGAACGGCCUUUGCGACUGCAUGACUUGAGACCGGAAGAGGAGAGUGGAAUUCCCAGUGUAGAGGUGAAAUUCGUAGAUAUUGGGAAGAACACCAGUGGCGAAGGCGGCUCUCUGGUCCGGUACUGACGCUGAGGCGCGAAAGCGUGGGGAGCAAACAGG